UACGGAGGAGGCAAGCGUUAUCCGGAAUUAUUGGGCGUAAAGCGUCCGCAGGUGGCACCUCAAGUCUGCUGUCAAAGACCGGGGCUUAACCCCAGAAAGGCAGUGGAAACUGAAGUGCUAGAGUGCAGUAGGGGUAGAGGGAAUUCCCGGUGUAGCGGUGAAAUGCGUAGAGAUCGGGAAGAACAUAGGUGGCGAAAGCGCUCUGCUGGACUGCAACUGACACUCAGGGACGAAAGCUAGGGGAGCGAAUGGG
rnacentral:rRNA from 1 species